UACAGGAGGUGCGACCGUUAUUCAUAUUUAUUGGGCGUAAAGGGUAUGUAGGCGGAACAAAAAAUUUGGCUUGAAAGGCUGGAGUCGUAACUUUAGACGACGGCUUUUAGAUUAUUGUUCUGUGAGUUAAUGACGGGUCGGAGGAACUUCCAGCGAAAGGGUAGAAUCUCCUAAUUCUGGAAGGAACGCCAAAGGUGAAGACAUCCCCUCUAGUGUUAACUGACGCUGAGGUACGGAAGCGUAGGGAGCAAACAGG
rnacentral:rRNA from 1 species